rnacentral:rRNA from 1 species
UAUUUAAAUAGCUGCVGUWUCCUAACUGUACAAAGGUAGCMCAAUCAAUAGUUUUUUAAUUAAAAGCUGGAAUGAACGAUUUGAUAAGGUAAAUAUUGUCUCAAUUUUAAUAAAAUUAGAAUUUUUUUUUUUGUAAAAAUACAAAAUUGUUUUUAAAAGACGAGAAGACCCUAUAGAAUUUUAUAUUUUAAAUUUAAAAAUAUUUUAUUUAAUUAAUAAAUUUUAAAUUAAAAAUAUUAGGUUGGGGAAAUUAUUAAAUUAGUUGAAUUUUAAUAAAUAUAAAACUAAAAUUAUAGAAAAUUAGACCUUUAUUAUAAAAAUUAAUAGAAAAAAUUACCUUAGGGAUAACAGCGUAAUUUUUUUGGAGAGAUCAUAUUGAUAAAAAAGGUUGCGACCUCGAUGUKGAAUUAAGAWAUAAAUUUUWWKGWAGAAGUUAAAAAUUUUUGG